ACAAUUUGUGUUUUACUUUUUCAAAAUAGUAAAUUGACUAUUGUACAAAUUCAAAAUGCAUCUCAUCAAUAAAAUUAAAAGAUUAAUAAAUAAUGCCAACCAGUGUUGAAAUGUUGGUAGCAGUCUCAAAAAGGGCAAUGGUUGUAUUGUAUCUGGGGCAUAUGAAGAGGUGUUAGGGCAAUUAGUGUGAAAUGUAAGUACUAAAGUUGGAGGAAGGCAUUUGCAGAGGAAGAGAAAGGAAAUCUGAAAUGUGAAUGUUUUAGUUAAGUAUUGAAGAUUUGAAGCAUUGCAUGUUAGUUGUUGAAGAAGUGGCGCUUCUCCUUCUUCUUCUUCUUUGGGUAUUAUUGAAUUGAAUGGAAUGAGGCAAUGAUGAUGGAUGGGUGGUUGUGGCGAGGCGUUUGUGUCAAUGUUGUAGAUUCAUUGUAUACACGCAGUCACCAUCAUCAUCAUUAUCUCUUUCUGAGCCUCUUUCCGUUACUUACUAGUUUGUGAGGCUUUUAGGGAAUUACUUUCUCUCUUUGCCAAUGAUCAUUCAUUCCUAUUUCCUAUACCACCAUCAUCAACUUCAUCAUGGAAAAUAUGGGGACCUUAUCUGUCUUUCUUUUUCUUCUUCUUCUUCUGGAUAUAACAACAAGGCAGUGAUGAUAUCAUCUUUGUUUCAUGCAGCAUGGAUCUGUCAUUGGCUAAGGCGCUCAAAGUCGCAGCCAUGCUCUUCACUAUCUGAGCCUCCUAUCCUAUUCUUCAUAUCAUGCUAUGCAUCUUUUUUUUACUUUUCCCCAUCUCCCACUUCUAUUUAUGCUUUUCUGCCAUUUCUGACUCGCUCAUAUUCAUUAUUAGGGUUUUCACUCUCUCUAUUUCUGUACUCUUUCAAAAACAUCCACUUCACGGACAACUUUGGAGCUGCCACUUGACCUACUUUGGUCAUUUUCAAUCUUCUAAUCAGGAAGAUCGAUAUUAAGGUGGUACAAACAAAACAUAAGAUGCCAAUAUCUAAAGAACCUAAACAAUUGGGAAAUUGAUUCUGUUGAUGAUAUGUAAAUGGGGUACAUUUCUUUUCUCUCAAACUGGUAAAUUAUGAACCAUUUAGUUUAGCCAACCAAGUUAGUGGAGAUGCAAGUGUCACAGCUUGGAUUCCAUCUGGUUUAAGCUCAUUCCUGUGAGGCCAAGUAGCUUCCAUUCGAUUUAACUGACUUUUCAUUGGAGGUUCAGAGUAAAUAUGAUUCCGGCAACAAAGAAUCUCCAAGUUGUCCCUACUUUAUCUUUUAUUGCUUUUACGUGUGUUAUCUGAUAAAAGUGUUCUAUCCAGAAUACUGCUUCAUAGUGCAUACUAUCAUGCAUAAAUAUGUUGUUCCUUCUUGACCUAACUUUUGGAUAUACCUGUUUUCUUUUCCAGUACUUCUGAUUGUAGUCUUUCAAAAGUUCCACUUCAGAGUCAACUUUGGAGCUGGCCGCUAUCAUCAAAACUGGAAGAUCCUAAAGGGACAACAAAUUGGUUAACAUCCUCAUACCCAUGGCAAAGAUAAAUUCAUAAUCAACUGAAAAUUUUGUCAAUCUUUAAUUCAAGGUGCUCCAGCCUUGUUUUGGUAUACAGAAUAAAUUUUAUUUCUCUGCAGAGAAGAGUGAUAAUAAUUAUAACUCUAAUUUGAUGAAGAGAUGUCGAAUGUUUGCAAAACAGGAUGUCUAAUCGUUAUAUUAUAUCUCUUGAACUUCUCUCUUAAUUGCAACAUAAGCAACAAGAACUACAGGAAUGAAUGCUACUUGCCAGACUAUGGUUUUCAUGGUCGAGAACGCACACAGAUUGAGGAAUGGUUUGGUUUGUUGAAGUGCUGCUUCUGGUUCGUUGGGUAUUGAAUUGAAUGAGGCAGUGAUGAUGGGUGGAUGAUUCUGGCAAGGCGUUUCUAUCAUGUUGACGCAGCCAGCCAUCUCUCUCUCUUUCUGAGCCUCUUCCUUUGCAACUACUCACUAGUUUGUGAGGCUUUGCUGCUCUCUGAGAUGACCCUGUCUGUCUGAGUUGCUCUCAUUGUCAAUGAUCAUUCGAACUUCUCUCUCUCUCUCUCUACACACAAACAACAACAACAACAACAAUACAACCUCUCUUUCUUUCUCUCUCUCUUUCACUCAUUCUCAUCAAAUCCAAACCAAACAGAACCCUUCUUGAUCUCCUUUCUUCUUCUUCUUUGGGAUAUAAUGAGGCAAUGAUGAUAUUUCAUGCUACUGAUUCAGACAUGUGAGUGAAGUAAAGAGAUGGAUAUUGGCGAGGUGACUUUGUGUCUGUGGAUCCUUCCAUAGACGCACACAGUUGCAGCCAUGCUCAUGAUCCUCCUCUUCACUCUCUUCUCUGACAAAACACCUAAAUCUGAGCCUUGUGUUCAUGUUCAACAUCCUCACUCAUCAUCAUUCUCCCCUUCUUUCUAGCUUAACUUCCCUUUCUAAAACAACAUUUGUUAAUGUUUUCAGUCCGGCUUUGUCAAAUAGUGACUAUAGUGGUUCUAUAGCACUACAAUAUACUGGAAUUUAACAAACUGUUGUUGUCUACAAUCUGCAAUAUGUCCAUCACUGUUGUCAAAGAGUGCCAUUAUAGUCUAUAGCAUAGCAUAAUUUGAGCAAACCACUGUUCUCAUCGAUCCAUGAUUGACAACAUUGUUUCAGUCAUCUUGUCCCUAUGCAUGUUUUCUACACUUAUCAUUAUUUCCUUUGCGUACCUUUUUUUCUCUAGUGGCUCUGUGUCUUUAUGCAAUUGAUUUUCUUAAAAGCACUAGCAUUGUGCAAGUAUUGGGAUCAGUUUAAAAAUAUAAAGGGGAGAGAAGUGGCUCGAAAUUAUAUUGAGCAAAAAUAUAAAGAGGAGAGAAGUGGCUCGAAAUUAUAUCGAGCAAAAAUAUAAAGAGGAGAGAAGUGGCUCAAAAGCAAGCAAAAGAAGGAGAAGAGAAAAAAUUGGGAAUUGCAUCCAACUUUUAAUAUGUUUUUCACAAGAACUUGGAACUCUUUAUAUAGUAAUGGAAGUUAUUUCAUAUGUUUAAAUUAUUCGAUGUGAGACUUUAUCAUUUAUAAGUUAAAAGAUAAUCAAUGUGUGAGAGUUUUCCAA